CUCUUCACCUCCUUCCCCCCCCCCCCCCCGCCCCGGCCUUCCGCCGAGCCGCGGGGGAGGAGGGGGCUCCCUUCCCCACCUCUAACCGUGUGCGCCUUCCCUUCCCAGGCAGGGAAACUUGCGCUGGCAGGCGGCCCCGGUGCCGGUACCGGAGGAGGACUGGAGCCUCCGGAAGCAAAGUUCUGUGACACUCCGACUCUGGGUACGAUAGCAGUCAGUGCACUACAGAACUUUGUCUCCGGCGGCGGCGGCGGCCCCGGGAGCCUCAGGUGGACACGUCACUGCGGUGCCGAGCACCCAGACCUUUGGGUGCUGAGCACCCAGACCUGCGCUGCACCCUUGGAAUAAAGUCUUUGCUGGCGUGGCCUCCCGCUCUCAAGUUUUGUUGGGUUUUCUUUCUUUUUCUUUUUUUUUUUUUUUCCUUCUUCUUUUCCAGGGUAAAAAAUAGCCCAGCAUCUGGGUAUCCGAGAGUUAUUUCAGUGCAGUCAAGCCGGCGUGGCUGUCGGCAUAAAUGUGAAACUAACUGGUGCGUGGUGCAGCUGAAUCGGUGGUGGGUAUGUGAACAUGCUUGACACUACUCCUAAUUGUGCUUUGUUUCAGAUGUGUAACAGAAUAGUAGUGUAACUAGGGUUCGAUAAAACACUGCGCUCUUAGCAAAAACCUGUGCUAGAGAGUCCUGUUGUAACACAGUGCGGUAGGUGUGCUAAUUCAAUGUUUAGGCCUUGCCUUGUGGCACUGAACUGUUUUCUUCUUUAGGAACCCCAAGCCCCCAAACUUCGGUUGAGUAAUAGCUACAACCUAAAUUCAAACCUCUGCAUCUUCAAAAACCACAAGGUUUGUUGUGAGUACUGCAAGGCUUCAUCUUCACUAAUGCAGAGGGGGGAGGCUUUGGAAGGAUAAAUGAUACCUGUAUUUAUUAGUGCAGUUGCAAGGUUUUAUAAUAUAACCUUAUUUGACACCUGCACCAUAAUCAACAUGGACAAUGCCUUUAAGGGCUGAGAAAGGAAGGGCCAAACUCCUUUUUUAAGUUGGAAUCUGGCAACACUACAAUAACUGGCCCAGCUCUGUUCAGAGUUUUUGUGGAGUUUCUUGAUGUGUAAACUAAGGUGCGGAGCUCUUGUGAGGUGGACAUAAUCAGCUGAUCAGCUUUCAUAAUGAGAGUAAUAGGGAAAACAGGCAUGGCUAGAGGUCAGGUGGAAUAAGGCAUGGCAACUUAUUUCAAAUUUAAAACCAGGAUGUGCUGUAGAGUUUGUUAGCAAGUAAGGCUUUCACGGAAGCUGCAUUUCGUGGCAGAUAAUGCUGCUUUUAUAUUUAUAGAUAUACACAUAAAUGUGUGUGUGUGUGUAUACACGUAUAUGUUAGAGGUCUCAUAUUCUGUUUGCUUUUUGUAGCUAAUGAUCCCUUUUGGGCUCACUAGAAACCAAAAUCAACUUUUCCUUUCUGCCGGUCUGAACAUGGAAGGUACAGCAAGAUUAUACAGUUCGUGGAAUUGGGCUGGAAACUGAAAUGCUAUUCUAAGUACAUGCUUUUUAGCUCAAACCGUUUAAUCAAAGGGUAGGUAAAGUGAGGAGCACUUACUGUAUGGCAGCCCAUGUGACCAGCUAGGGCUAUAUUUGGAUGCUGGAGGUUUAAGGAAUCCUUUUUGCUAACCAUUUUUGGCCAAUUGCCUGCUGCUUUAUGUUGUGCAGUGUGACGUGUGCUAAAAAGGACUUGGAAGUCUGGUGUCUGCAACUAUUUAAUCAGUGCAAUUAUAGGGAAACACCUUGUACCGUCAGGGCUGAAGUCCCACUAUAUUUAAUUUAGGGGUGGUUCCUGCCUAGCAGGAUAUGUAAUGCAAAUUGCAGUUUCCAAUUUUUGUACUAAAUAGCCUUUUGGGGGGGGGGGGGGGGGGCGGUGGCCAGUAGAUCUUAUAAAGGCUUCUUAGAUACUCAGAUUUGGUGGUUAAAACUUUAUACAGAUCCUUAUGGUUCUGGAAACCCACAGACUGGAACAUACGCUUACUCUUUCAGGAUAAAUGUAAUGUGUCUGGAUCUUAGCUUAUUUCAGUAUAAAUUCAGCCCAGAAUGGGAGGGGGGCAGGAUCUUGAAGUCUCUUGCACUGGGCUAGAUGUGGUGGCCAAUCGCAAACCUGAGUCCAACUGUGUUAGGAAUGAAGAAUUUGUCCACUUUCUCCCAGCGUGUUUCAGCCGGAGCCAAUUUUCUGCCUGCUUUUAGUUCCCCGGUGGUCAAGCUGUGAAGGCAAGGAAAUCAAGUGGCCCUCAGGUGGGACUAGAAAAGAGCUCAGUGCUUCCGUUUCUGUGCUUUACUCUUCAACUGAAAUGUAUGCGAUCUGAUAGUCCACCGGUGUUUGAACUUUCUCGCUCGAUUGCAGUGUAAGACUUUGGAAAGCAAGCUGGAGGUGUGUAGCAGUGCUUGGGACCUUGGAUGGAAGAUGAAGAGCUUUGACUAAUCUUUCAAGUGUAGUCUUUUAUUAAGAUGAUGCAGGAAUUGGAAAUUGAGAAAGAAUAGGUGAUGCUAUUUAAAAUAAAGUCUGAAUGCCAAACUAUAACGGCAUUGAUAGAACUUUUGUAUGAUUUCUUGGCAUCUUUUGCUUCUCUGUUAAGCAGGACAUCGCUGGAGAUGUACUCUAUGCUGCAGCUUUAUUUUUUUGGUGCUUUUUGACGCUUUAGAGUGCCUGUUCCAAUUACGGUCCUUUCCGCGUUGGAAGAGUGGCAAAUGAGCAUGCUGAGUAAAUUACACGACUUGCCAGAAUAGUACAGGUCUGUUAUUUGGAGGGGCAGAGACAAAGGAAGUUAUACCCACCUAUUUAUUGUUCAGCAAGCUGGAGAACAGGCAAGGAGUUUGCUGCCAAGUACUGCGAAGGUUGAGGCUGAAUGCAUCUGAGCGUGGCCUAGAGUCCCUGCGUGUAUUGAUCCAGCUUGAACUGUGUACGUAGGUGCAGAAGUUUGAAUUCAGAAUUCAAAAAGAGGCAUUUUGGAAGAGUUAAAAGCUGCUAUGUCAUGUAUUUUGUCUUUUCCAGGCCAGGGUAUCCUUACAAUCGUAAGAUUUAGUUAUGUCUUACACUGCUGAGAGUGACGAUGAGGCAACCGCUUUAGUUUGCUUUGUGAUGGGAGAAUAAAGAGCACAGGGAAUGUAGAGUAAAGGCACGCUGCACAGCUUGUAGCUGGUUAGUCUCAGGAUGACACUGGACCUGAUAGAGUUGAGGAAUGUGCUUACUUUAGCUUCCAGAGAUCUGAUUUUGAGGUAGUGAAGUUUUAAGUAAAAAUCUAACUCUUGUACCCGUAAUCUAAAAAUGCUGUCAAAAGAUGAAAAGAACACGCUUUUCAUGUGUGUUUUCAAAGAGCUAGCUUGUACUGUUUUACUAGACACAGACUUGCUGACUUCUAGCAACUGUAUGAUAAACAAUUUAUAAAUAGACCAUAGAGUCCAAUGAAAUACAAAUAGAGUAUUGGAAGUCAUGAGCUGACUCCAAAAAAUGCUGGGACAUUUAUAUUUAUCUGCUGCCUGGGCAGCUAUGUUCAAGAAACUUUACAGGAUCCACGUAGAUUGAAGUUCCCUAAAAGCCCGCCCAGAGCAGCACGUUCUGGAGUCUUGUUUGUUGGGAUUCUGGUGGCAGUGAUGGUCUUCCCUCUAAGUCUUGGGACAACAGGGCAGAAACAUUUUGCGGGAUAUCUGAGGUACCAACACGAGGCUCCGUGUGCCUGUCAGCUGCAGAAUGGGAAGUAGACUUGGAGCAGUUGAGGCAGGUCAGUGGCACUGUGUGGUAAAGGAUUUGCCUCGUAUUUGGAGCUGGAGGAGGCAAACCUGCCUCUGGUAGAAGCAGGGGAUUGAGCUAAGAGCGAGUGGAAACUGGAAUUGCUAAGCAAUCCCAAAAUUUAUUUUCUAUUUUAUUCUGGGAGGGAAGUGGAAGUUACAAAAACUUCGCAAAUGCCAUUGAAAUAAGGCCAUUUUCUUGCCUGGUGUAACAGACAGGCUAGGAACUCGACCGCAUGUUGGUUGUGCUUACUGUACUCUAGAAAUAACCUUUGCUAUGACUAGGUUUUAUUUUUUGAAAUACUGGUGCUAGUGCUGUUGAAAAUAGCUUGGUGCAGUUGAACCUGUAUUUAAGAUAUUAGAGGUAGUGUGCUGAAACCUCAUCCUAAUUAACUGCAGAACAAGGGAGCUGAAACUUGGCUUCAUAUAGCCAACACAAAAGUAAUUACUUGCUGAAUUUAUAUAUAAACUUUCUGAAAUGAGCAUACAGAGUCCUGAACUCUAAUGCCGGGGGUUUUUUUCAUAGGCUAUUGAUGAAUGAUUACCACUUUGUUUUGAGUUCAGCUGGGCUGUGAGGCAAUACUGUCUUUUUGUAUAAUGGCAGCUUUUAUCCUAUCUGAUGGUUCUUGCCUCUUCAGUUUUGGAAUCUACAUACUUGCACCAACGCUUGGUCUCUUGCAGAGCUCCUGUGAAUGUUCUUCAGCUGUAGUAAAAUGAUGCAUUGCUGCUUUUAAUAAAAGUAAGUCUCAAUACUGGAUGCUGAUCCGCUCAUGCAGUAAAAUCCCCAAUGUGUUCUGUAGUAACUUGCAGGAGCACUGGUGGGAACAUCAUUAACCGUAUGAGAGACUCAAACUAAUGAGUGGCAGUGUAUUUAAGUUGUGUGAGUAGUCUUACAUAGGCAAGCCAGAGCUGUUUAACACUGCAUUUUGGCAGCUGGGUGCCUUUGGACCUGUCUGAUGUGUAGGCAGUAAGCUCGGUUGGAGUGAGAGCUAUCGCUUUUGCCAUACUGACUCCCAGCUCCUGUUAGCGUGUCCAAAACUUCGACUGACUAUAACAGUUCCCUCGGCUGCCACUUCCUUGGAAGGGGUGGAGAAAGGAUGGUCUCAGUUUGAGGAAAUGUAUGGAGAUACAGCAAUCAGCUCUUAUCCUUUAGUUUCUUUGUUCAUGAACUGAAACACAGGAGGCUCUGCCUGAACAUUGGGAAACGCACAGUCUGGGAGCGACUGAGCACUGGCGUGGGUUGCCCAGAGAGGUUGUGGAGUCUUUGUCCUUUGAGAUACUCAAAAACUGUCUGGAUGGGCCGCUGGCUCUAGGUGGCCUUUCUUGAGCAGGAUGGUUGGACCAGAGGACCUCCAGAGAUCCCUUGCAAGCACAAUGAUUGUGUGAUUCAUUUCCUAACUUUAUAACCAGAAAAUGAUUUUUUUACCUUUCCUGCUGUCAUUUCCUCAUCCCAUAGUUUCUUCCAUUGCUGCUUAUUGUCACAUGAAUAAUCCUUUCAUUUAUAAAGCAGAGGAGAAGGGCUACAGAAGCUCAAUAUUACUCUGAAUAAAUGUAAUGUAAAGCACAUAGUGAUCAGCUUUGAUUCAAGUGAGUUAAUUAGCUUGAGCUGAGGCUUGAGCAUAUAAAACAAAAGUUGAAUCUCAUCAGGAGAGAUACGUUCUUCCUUUAACCUUCAUAAGUAGUGAAGUACAGGAAUAAAUGUGUGUUUAAUGCAGAAGAAUUAUCACUUUCCCAGGUGACCGGUAAUCUCUUAAAGUCGUGGAUUUUGCUCUUCAGUCAUGGCUGGGCCUGAGAGAGGAAGCAACUGAACCUCAGAUUUCUUUUGCAUAAGGCUUUCCCAGUGCAGUGAUGUUAAUAAAGUGGCAAAAUAUUCCUAGCAUCAUUUCAGCUCUUAACCAAACCGCACCAGUGCCAGUGAGACUUGUCCCUUGCCCCUUCACCAGGGGAAAUCGGCUGUGCUGAGGUGGGGGAGGUCGCGGCAGCGGGUGGCAAAUCGCACCUCCCGGGUACGAGAGAAAGACCUUGCCGGGGUAGAAGUGUUGAUAAGGUGAGGGUUUGCUGCAGUUGAAGACAAAAGGAGCUGUUGGUGUUUUCCCCUCGCCGUGUUGUGUCAGGUAGGCACGAAGGCUUCAAAUCAGGAUAAGGAAGAUCUGGUUGGCUGCAGUGACUCCUCCUCAAGGUUGCUCACGUUUAGUCUUCAGGGAGUCCCAUCAUUGUAUCCCCCCACAUAACCACUGAGGCAAGAAGCUGAUAGUGUAGAGCAAACCUUGGAGAAAAGGUGUAGCUCUUUAAAGGUAAACUCUUGUAUUCCUUGCCUUGAAGAGCAAAUAUAGUGGAGAAUCUUUGCUUUGCUGCUGCUGUGGAACUACUGUGCUGUCCUGCAGGUAUGGCCUGAGGGACUGGGAGGAAGGGGCAGAUGUAGAUACUGCUGGGGAGUGGAAAAAGCAGAGGGUGGUGGGUAAAAGAGGCCACACGAGUUGCCAGAGGAGCAAGACUUGGGGUCUGCUGUGAACGUUGAUGUCCAUGUGAUCACUAUUUGGUAAGCACUUUCUGAGAUGUUAAACUGCUGGAAUGUACAUUGACCAAACUAAUUUGGGAACCUUAUGUAUAAUUACACUGUGUGAAAGGAGCCUGCGCCUUUUGAGAUAACUUUAGUAAGUACCUGAAACAUAAUGUUCAUGAAAUACUAUAGUUACAUAACACAGCCUUUUAAUUUAUGCUGUGCAUUAAUUUGAAAAUAAAAGUGAAUUUCAAAUUCUGGAUUCUUACAGCUUUUAUCAUACUAUAUAAAUCCAUUAUUUCAAAUAGGGUUAACUAGGCUAAACCAAUGAGGACCUGCAGUACCAAACCAGUUGUUGGCAAACAAAAGAUAAUUAACCAUCAUUAGAGAGAAAAAGGUGAUUCUGCAGAGCACUGACAAGAAAGCAGAGCUAUGCUUAAUCCUUGCACAGUACACAAUCAAUACCAAUAAAGUCCUAAAGAAGGAAGGAAGCCUCACAAGUCUUGCCGGGUAAGAGUUUCAGACAACAGCAUCGUAAGUGACUGAGGAAACGCAUGGAUGAUGGCAACUUUGAUUUCCAACUUGACGUGUUCUCAGCCAGCCAAAUGCGAGCUGGAACUCAAAAGCAGGGAAUAGUGCAUGGAGACAAUGCUCCGUCGUCAAGGAUUGCUGCCCUCACUCCGGAUCAUUCCUGGAAGAGAGGAGAAAGCAGGCUCAAACCUGCAGGAGGGUACUUCUCUCAUUAAAUGCUUUUUCAGAAAUAUUUUAAAAUAACCUGUUCAACCUAUGCUCAGCUGUAGGUUUAUGUACACGCCGGUCUGUUAAAAUACUAAUUUUGUAGUUUAUUAAGCACAGUGCUUUCCAUGUGGGUUUGAUUAAGCAGCAAGAAUAAAAAUACAAUGAAAAUUGAAUCCUGUCUUUAAAAGAUUUCAGUAUUCAAAUUGUGUGUUCUUGGCUUAAUGUUAAGAAUCCGGUUCUGGAUUACAUUGUUGUUCAGUAUGGUUCACUUGUCCAAACCAUGUUGUUUAAAUUUUGGUGUUAAAUUUAGUUAGAAUUUGGAUCAAGCAACUAAAUGGGAAGAUGUAAAGGCAAGCCUUAGCAGUUGCAUGUAAAUGAAGCAAAGGCAUGGGCAGUGUAGCUCAGAGCCUGGGCUCAGCAAUUUAUUGCUGAGAUACUCCCAUCAGCAUUAUAUGGACCACUCUCCCUGUACAGGCAGCAGCACGGAGGCUGGUGAAAGCAGGAAAAGCUUGUUCUGCAGGCCCAUACUGAUCUUGGUCUCGAUGCUUUGAAAUCUUUGUUCCUAAAUCAUGUUAAAUCAGCAGCUUAUUUUUAGAGGAAUGUUAAAAUGCUAAGCUUUAUAUAACCACAUUAAGCUCACUUCUGAUGUAUGAAGGCAAACGUACUGGUGACAGUCACUGUUUCAGUGUAUAGGACAAUAAGCAGUAGAGGCAUGCUAGCUAUGUGAAGCUUUCAACAAAAUGUUGUCACUUAGUCACAUUCAAAAUUACUGAAUGUGAAAAGAAUCAAAUACUUCGGACUACAAAUGGGUUGUAUAGUCUCCAGACUAAAAUUAUUUCACUGCACCAAGAAUAAAAAGCAUUUAUGAGAGGA